rnacentral:lncRNA from 1 species
UGGGGCUCCAGGAAUUGACUUUCCCAGAAUCCCAUUGUCACUUCAGGGCUCUCAAGAUGUUGCCUUCCAGAAUUCUGCUUGCUCGUAUCAGGUUCUCCUAAAGAAAGGAAGCCAUUAAACAAGAAAAGAAACCAACAUUCCGUUAUGGAUUAAAAAUAUGCUGUCAUUCACCUAUUAGCUCUUCUACAUUGGCCAGGAUGGAGGCGACAUUUCUGGUUUUCUUAUCUUUCCUCUUGUUUUAGCAGAAUUUGAGGAAUCUGCUUAACCAUUUGUACUUUGUUCUACUGCCAGUCCAAACAAUUUCAAUCAAUGGAUUCCCAAGCCAAGCUUCUAACUACAGCUCACCAGGCAUCCUAGUUGGACUGAUUUUGUUUUUGUUUUGAGAAAUUAUGAAAUAGGCAAGUUGUCUUACAUCAACAGCCCAUUCCUCAGUUACCAGGACCUUGCAUCCAAAUUCGAGCGGCACGCAUUACUGCUUCGUGAAAGCAGCUGCUACUUUGACCAUGUGGAUCUCCUGGCUCCCUAACUAUUGCAACCCUAGCUUAAUUGCCUCUGCUCCUGGAAUAAAAUCAGCACUUAUUGAACACCUGCAUAUGGAAGACAUCAUGCUAGGCCCUGUGAAAGAAAGAAAGAAAUUUGGUAUACAGUUGGUUUUGCCUUGAAAAGUUUACCAUCUAGUUGUGAAUUAGUACUCCCAUCUAUGUCCUGGCAAACCUUGGACAAAUUUCUUAACCUCUUUGCACCUUGAUUUCUCCAUCUGUAAAAGAGAGGAUAAUAGUAUAUAGGAUUGAUGUAAAUCAAUUAAUAUGUAUAAAAUGCUUAAACUAGUACAUGACACAUAAUAAUCACUCAGUAAAUGUUAGCUAAAUUUGGC